UAACCAUCCAGAGCGACUAAGAGACUUGGCUCGUAGACGUCGCAGCAACCACCCAACCGGGCAGGUGCUACCGCCAAGAGUCGAUGGAGU
rnacentral:ncRNA from 2 species